UAGCCGUAGGUGAACCUGCGGAAGGAUCAUUAACGAGUUAGGGUCUUCCAGGCCCGACCUCCCAACCCUAUGUUUAUUGAACCUCUGUUGCUUCAGCGGACCCGCCUCACGGCCGCCGGAGGACCGCUGCAAGGCGUCCUCUGGCCAGCGUCCGCCGAUGGCCAACCACUUAAACUCUGAAUGAAUCGUGUCAUAUGUCUAAGUCUAUGAUUAAAUUAAAGCAAAACUUUCAACAACGGAUCUCUUGGUUCUG
rnacentral:misc_RNA from 1 species